AACCCCCCGCGUGGCGGCACCUCGCCCAAUCCCCCAGGGUCGGAAGACAGCAAGGGUAAGUGAGCUCUGCCGGGUGCGCGGGGGGCCUCU
rnacentral:SRP_RNA from 1 species